rnacentral:rRNA from 1 species
UGCAAGUCGAGCGGUAGAGAGAAGCUUGCUUCUCUUGAGAGCGGCGGACGGGUGAGUAAUGCCUAGGAAUCUGCCUGGUAGUGGGGGAUAACGCUCGGAAACGGACGCUAAUACCGCAUACGUCCUACGGGAGAAAGCAGGGGACCUUCGGGCCUUGCGCUAUCAGAUGAGCCUAGGUCGGAUUAGCUAGUUGGUGAGGUAAUGGCUCACCAAGGCGACGAUCCGUAACUGGUCUGAGAGGAUGAUCAGUCACACUGGAACUGAGACACGGUCCAGACUCCUACGGGAGGCAGCAGUGGGGAAUAUUGGACAAUGGGCGAAAGCCUGAUCCAGCCAUGCCGCGUGUGUGAAGAAGGUCUUCGGAUUGUAAAGCACUUUAAGUUGGGAGGAAGGGCAGUAAAUUAAUACUUUGCUGUUUUGACGUUACCGACAGAAUAAGCACCGGCUAACUCUGUGCCAGCAGCCGCGGUAAUACAGAGGGUGCAAGCGUUAAUCGGAAUUACUGGGCGUAAAGCGCGCGUAGGUGGUUCGUUAAGUUGGAUGUGAAAUCCCCGGGCUCAACCUGGGAACUGCAUUCAAAACUGUCGAGCUAGAGUAUGGUA